GAGUUCGUAGAAAUGAGAGAUGGUUGGCAUCUCCCCCGACAGGGAUGGGAACAGCCUUCGGGCUUUACCUGUUAUCAGACAUCCGGGUAAGGCUACCCACUUUGGCAUAUCUUACCCAAUUUUUUCU